rnacentral:lncRNA from 1 species
UCUUCCUAUUUUGGGAUCGGCGUUGGAGAAGAAAAUUAGGCAGAACCCUAGAGUGAAAUUACGGGCUUACAUAAUUACUCGAUUGAUGCACGAACUAAUCAAGUGCUCAUGACUUUGUUAUUUUUUUAGGAAAUCAUGUAAUAUUUUUGCAAUAAAUUCAAAUGACAACCAUUAAAACGAAGAAAAACUCCUCGACCGGUAGAGAAUCGCGCG